rfam:Dipodomys ordii contig_5823, whole genome shotgun sequence.
GGGAAGGUAGCUCAGUGGUAGAGCACUUGCCUUGCAUGCCAGUGGCCCUGGGUUCGAUUCCUCAGCACCA